GGCAAAGACAUAUACAUAAUUCUCCCCUCCAGAAUCCUGGCGAUGCUUCCUGAGCAUGUGAGAAAACCGGCUGGCUUUGCAUGUACACAGAGGCAAAGCCAAGAUUUUGUGAGCCUGGGGUAAGAUUCCCAGCCCCGGACAUCACUGCAAGGGAGCUCCUGUGCAUGCGAUUGCUCUCCAUUAUAAACCGCAAAUGCGACUGGGACCAAAGGAGUUAGCUCAGGAGCUGGUGUAGAAUCUACCCAUCUUUCGAUUUGGGGAAAGGGGAGAUGAAAAGUCAUUUCUCCUUUCUCUGGAUUCAUGCAAUCCUUUAACUGUAAUUGUCUCUCCCUGCUUGCUCCAGUUGUUGAUGUAUUGCCUCUCGGCUCCAAGCGCACCCACCCUUUUUUGUCUUGCUUUGUCCUCCUGAAGCCGAACUCUGCGCCUUGCAUUUCUCCGUAAUGGCCGCCUGCCUGGUACACUCUACCAAUAGAGGGCGCCGUGAAGCGGGAGGUAGAAGAAGGUGCGCUCCGUUCUGUUUCCCAAGCAGUUGCUAGCAAAUCCGGGUGCAGAGGAUCCCAGCAGUUUUCCCUGCAGUGGUGGCAGCUCUCAGUGUCCUGGGGUGCCUGAUAGGAUUGACCCCAUGACCAGACCCUGCCAGUGAAUUGUGAGAGGAAAUGAGAGUGUUACUUUUGGGCACAAUGAUGAGUUGCUAGAAUGGGACACUCCUGAAUGCUCUCUUCCUGUGCCACGAGGAGCAGCCAUGUUCCAGGUGAUGGCCGCUCUGUCAAUGUAGAUCCUGCAGAGAUGACAUGGGGUAGAUCCCCCACUUGACUCAUGAGAGACCAAGCAAGAAAUACAGAUUUGUUGUGUUAAUCCACUGAGAUUGUGGGGGGUCACCAUGAAGCACAACCGAUCCUUUCUUGGCACAAAGAUCAGACAUGAGAAUCACGUGCAUUUAUAAACAUUGGAUGGAGAGGUCUGACAACAUUAAAGCACUCUACCCAAAGAAGGAAUUAGCAUCCCUGAAUUAGCAGGUUUGGGAGUGAUACACUCCUGUCUCAACUGGAAUAGUCCAAGAGGUAGCUUCCUGCAACAUCUCCAGCUCUGAUUCCUGCUCAAGGUUAUGCUCCUGAUGGUUGCGCUGCUGGAAAGAUGAGACAAACCACCAGGGUUGAAAGUCUGUGCUUCAGAGCCGCCAAGGAUGUGUGACUAACCGUGUGCGUCUGGAGGGAUAUCUCUAUAUCACUUAGCAUUUAUCCUUGAGGCCAUCUAGCAGAUGCUAAACACCGCCACCGAACCGUAAGGUAACACUAUAAAUUUCUUGGUUGUAAAUAUAGGAAAUUGUGCUGUUUUUUUGAGGUAUGCUCAUUAAAUCACCAGGUGAAGUGCCUAAUGCCAUCCUGGGAAUAGAAAGGAUCGUGUUUGGUGCCUAAAAAUAAGACGGAUUCACCGUGGGGUGCUAAUGUAUGUAGCUACAAGAAAAGCAGCCACCGGGAGGCACAGCUCCUGUAUAUGCAAGAGAAGAGACCGCAUUCACACUGUUAAUGGCAGCUUUUCACGGCCUCUGGAGCGCUGCCAUCCCAAACUGCUCCAGGUAUAGAGGUGACGGGUUAGAGGAAAGUGUUCUUUUCUCCCUCUCUCUGUGAUCCUCCCGCCGUGCUCACUAACCCACAGCACCAACAGGAGUAUGGAAUCCACUAAACUGAAGACUCCACAACUGUAACCUGAAACUUGGUCAGUGAUGGAAUCUCUCACCUCAUCCAGUUACUUGGGGUCUAUUGUUCUGGUAAUUAUAUCUUAAAAUGUUGGACAUUUUCCAAAAGGCCAGCCAGCACUGUGAGAAAGAAGAGUAUGUCCUGGGGUGGGUAGCACUGGUCAUAUUUGACUUGACACGAGCUGCUUUGUCCCUGGCUGCCAGCAGUAACCCCCACCCCCAGGACCCGGAGGCCCCAGUCGUCCUGCGCCUCUGGGAAGGAGACAAAGGCAGGAAUGUCUGUGGCAGCUGGCUGAACCCAAGUGUGUGUAUGUAUGUGGAGGCGGGCAGGAUGGUCUCAGAGUUCGGGUUCUUAGACGAUCAAGAGAAAGGAAAAAGAAGGCUUUGAAGGGAAAAAGCGUUAUUGACAAGAGGUAACCAAUUGAUCCUUUCAGCAUGUUUUUCUUCUUGACUCUAGAAGUCCCAGUGCGAGUCAGACUGGGGUUACCUUCCCAGCAAGAUCGGCCCCACACUCUGGCUAUGGUUUUACAGGGUUCUGGGCCCCAAACUGAGCUGGCCACUGAAAACACCUAGGGAACCUAAAAGGCAUUAUUCAAGCCCCUGCUCCUAAGCUACUGAAACAGUCUGGGCCCCCGGAAAUAAUAUUUUACACUAAACAUCCUUGGGUGUUUCUAAUAGCCAGGCAGGUUCUGGAGUUCAUGCCAUCCCCCAUUUGGGAACAGAAGCCUUAGUAAAUUAGUAAAAAUUAAAAAAAAAUAUGUUACUAAAAACAGGAAAACAAAACGCACCAGCACCCCUACCACCCAGAGUUAUACUGCCAGCACUUGGUGUGCAGAACCACUUCCUGCCAGAUAGAUAGAUUCCCUGUCUCUGUUUUGGACAGGCUGGUGGCACCACCAUUUUGCCAUCUGCCCACCUGUGGCCUCACUGAGUGAUGCACCAGCGGAGCAGGUACCUUGUCCCUUCUGCAAUGUAGGUUUGAGGCUCAGGGCCCCUCUGAAAAGCUGAGCUGGGGUCAGCAGGUUGACGGGGUGAAAGAAAGCCUGUGCAUCAUGGAUUUGCUUUGGUGGCACUGUGCCACCAGCUGCCAGAACCCCUGCCACAUUAGCAGCACCACAGCCACUGGCACCAGCUUAGAAUCACCGUGUCCAACCUGCCAGAGACCGCCUGGUGGCCAUCUUAUAAACCAGGAAACCAAAGUUCAGGAAAGUUCUGUGAAGCCCAGCUAACUACCUUCCUGGCUAUGCAUUCUAAUAUCCCUGGAAUGUAACUAUGGUUCUGGCAAAGGAAUCAGGUGACUCCUAAGGGACGUGAUUAAUGAAUGGGCUACCAAAACUGGUUGGGCAAAGCUCAGCUUAAGUUUGUGUUAAAUCCUUUAUGACUCUGGCUCACCUAUUUGUAGAACUUAACUGUGGCUUAGUGGGGAGAAAUCCAUCCAAUGGACCCAACAAGGGUUGUAUUCCUACAUUUGUGUGUGUGUGAAAAUACUCCCACAUAUCCCUUCUUCCCUUUUUUUUUUUUAACGUUUAUUUAUCUUGAG